AUUCCAGUAAACUCUGACCAGCUCAAAUGGCUCCUUGGAGGAAGUUUACAUUCGAAGGUCUGUAAGGUCUAAGAUCUAAGUCACUGUUGAUUCAACUGGAGCUCUUCCACUCCUCACAGAAGCGGUAAAAAUCCUUGCGUGUUAUGUAUCCCGUCAAGAGAACAUACUGGUUUGAUAUCGACAAGGUAUGAGAAGCGUUCUUUUGGA